rnacentral:rRNA from 1 species
GUGGGGAAUCUUCCGCAAUGGACGAAAGUCUGACGGAGCAACGCCGCGUGAGUGAAGAAGGUUUUCGGAUCGUAAAGCUCUUUCGUUAGGGACGAACGUGCUCUUUGUGAAUAAUGAGGAGUAAUGACGGUACCUAAAUAAGAAGCCACGGCUAACUACGUGCCAGCAGCCGCGGUAAUACGUAGGUGGCAAGCGUUGUCCGGAAUUAUUGGGCGUAAAGCGCGCGCAGGCGGGAUAGCAAGUCUGUCUUAAAAGUUCGAGGCUCAACCUCGUGAGGGGACAGAAACUGGUAUUCUUGAGUGUCGGAGAGGAAAGUGGAAUUCCAAGUGUAGCGGUGAAAUGCGUAGAGAUUUGGAAGAACACCAGUGGCGAAGGCGACUUUCUGGACGAUGUCUGACGCUGAGGCGCGAAAGCUAGGGGAGCGAACGGGAUUAGAAACCCUUGUAGUCC